rnacentral:tRNA from 1 species
GGGCAAAUAGCGCCCAUAAUGCCGGUUUUUGGCCACUCAGCCGACCGAUAACUCUUUUAGAAUCAUCAACUGGCUACCUUUCGACCACCUUCACACGGUGGAAGUCGUAGGUUCGAAUCCUGCUGUGCCCACCA